rnacentral:rRNA from 1 species
GAGAUGGAUUUGGUGCCUUCGGGAACUCUGAGACAGGUGCUGCAUGGCUGUCGUCAGCUCGUGUUGUGAAAUGUUGGGUUAAGUCCCGCAACGAGCGCAACCCUUAUCCUUUGUUGCCAGCGGUUAGGCCGGGAACUCAAAGGAGACUGCCAGUGAUAAACUGGAGGAAGGUGGGGAUGACGUCAAGUCAUCAUGGCCCUUACGAGUAGGGCUACACACGUGCUACAAUGGCGCAUACAAAGAGAAGCGACCUCGCGAGAGCAAGCGGACCUCAUAAAGUGCGUCGUAGUCCGGAUUGGAGUCUGCAACUCGACUCCAUGAAGUC